UAUUAGGAUUCAUUUAUUACAAAUUCAUGAGUUUUAGAGGUUUAGCUGGCGACACUUCUUCAGAUCUUGCAGGUGACCACAACACAAGUAUGGAGGCAGCAGACAAGACAUUCUUCCUCUUCAGUUAACAACAAGGUUCUUGUGGCCCACUUCUUGAAUCCAGUGACACUGAAGCAUUUCUCCCAUUCACCAGUGAGAUGGAAAUGAAUCGCUUGUACCAAUGAAGCUUGGUAACACUGCAUCUAACCUAUUAGGGGAUCGUGAAGUGAGGUGUGGUCUGAUUACUGUAUAUAAGCAAUCGAUAAGUGAAUGAUUUACGGGCUAUUCAUACCCGUGCACCUCUUGAGUGGCUUGUCUUCAUCAGUCAAUCGAAUAAUGAUGAGUCUUUCAAGAGUGGUUCAUUAUAGACGCUUGAGAGAUACCACACAUUGUCAACCUCACCAACAACAAUGUAGCACUCAGCGUAUCCAGUUCCUACUGACUCCAAAAGAUUUCUGUUUUGACAUAAACAGCCAGCCAGACUCCGGUCGAAUUGAGCUUCCACACACUCGUCCCACAUCGAGCUCCUCGGCUCUGCCCGCAUUCAGAGUGCCACGCUCUACGACUCUUGCCCUGCAUCUGCAUGCUCUACCCCCCAGCCUCGCUCAGCUGUCUGCCCUGCUUCAGGCUUUGGCUCAAGUUCUACGACACGUCGCUACACUGCCAACAAACCGACUGCUGUAACCAAGACUAGUGGUUUUGAUAUUUUGGUAAACUCGAGAGUAUCUAAUCAACCAAGUAAUGCAGUACAUAACUGCACCAUGAAUUUGUCACAUGGAACAAAUGCAGGGGUUAAAGUGGAUGGAGUGUCUCCUAGUGAAGCUAUAGACUGGAGUGCUGCUGCUUCAUGCUCAUAUCCUCUUCCUACUCAAAAGUUGCAAGGUGAUUACAAGGUCCACAAUUAUUAUAGUAUUUUAACAUUAGUAACCAUUUUGAGAAACUAAUCAUUUCAGCAUGCACUUACAUUUAUCUUUUAAACUUAUCUGAAUACAGUACAUCAUUUUCUUGAAAUGGAGCCAAACACAUUUGCCAGAAUGGCAAUUGUAUAGUACUUUGGCAGUGAAAAAUUUAGAUUGUAUAAUCAUUGAGAAUUUUAUACACUUCAAGUUAUAAUGUUAACAUAUUGCACUUUUAAUAUAGUCCAAUAUCACCUUUGCCAUCUCAGUUUUCAAGCUGUGCAUGCAAGUUACUAUGACUAGAAUAAAAACCACCUUCAAAA